UAGGAAAUAUUAUUUCAACAUGCAAUCAAUAUAAAAAUGUUAAAUAUUUUACACAUUUUUUAAUCCUAAGAUUUCAAAAUCCAGUGUGUAUUUUAUACUUACAUCACAUCUCAGUUUGAACUUGCUACACUUAAAUGCUCAGGAGCCAUACGUGACCAGUAAGUAAAACAUCAGACGGUACUAUCUUUUUAAGUAGAAUUAGAAUUUUGCAAAGGCUUUGUGUAACAAUGAGCCAAUUAAAGUUCUCAGUUGAGUAAAGUGAUUCAGAAGAGGCCAGGUUAGGGUACAGCUAUUUCUGUUAUAUCUUUUAAAGUUAUAUUUUUCAAAGACUAUUGAGAGUAGUCACUUAAGCACAUCAAUCAGAAGUUUAAUAGCUUGUUCUGUGAAAUGCAUUGCCAAAGAACCCAUACGUUCAAUUUAAACAUGCCUCACUCUUCAAGACUUAAAAUCGAGCUUUCAGUUCUCAACUUUUCAUGGACAAGAAUCAGCUUUUAGGUCUAUAUAGGCCCUGAAGACAGUACAUUUCCCAAUGAUCAAAUCAGAUAUUAAGAUCAGGUAUUAUAGACAUUGAUGAGCAGAAGAAAGAGGCCCUAAUCAGAUAUUCUGUGUUGAAGAAGACAGCUUCACAAGAUGGAAGGAGCCUACUCUGGAGAAAGAACUAAGGAGAAAAAUUGUGAGAAAGAAGAAAAAUGUAGACCACAUAAUAUCACUGCUUUAUUUGUAAAAUUUCAACAAGUUAUGUCUGCGUCUGAUAGAAGGUCACGUUCAGAGGGCCAUGUACAUGAAGCUGAAUUAACUUCCAUUUAUAGGCUAAAAGGAAAAAUAUUAGAUUGGACCAUUCUCAUCAAUUCCAAUAAUUGCAGGAAUUUGACAUUUUGCACACAUAACCAGUUCUACAAUUUUGACUGAAUUCAUAAUUCUAUUUAGUCAAAUAACUUGAUGAUUUAGUUAAACUUAUAUUUCUCAAUUUAAUGAGAAAUAAUGGUCACUUAAGGUAUUUUUUUAAUUGGUCAAAGCAAUUUCCAUAAAUAUACAUAAUUCAUCAAGACAAAACAAAUAUUAAUUAUAUGGAGAAAAUGGGGUGAGGAAAAGAUAACAGUAAGAAAAAUGUAGGAAGCCAAAUUCUUUCCAUAAUGUCUUAAAUAUGUUAGAGGUGGAUUAUGAAUUGAGCUCUAACCUUUUAGUAGACAAUGCAAACAGGGAGACAUGGCCAGCCAGCCACAUGAGUCCGUGUCUUUAAGAUAUUAAAUGAUUGCUCUAUGAAUAUCAAGUAUUUCUAGUAUUAGGACCAAAUAAAUAUUUUCUUAAAGGAGUAAUUCA
ensembl:lncRNA